UGGGGAAUUGUUCACAAUGGGCGCAAGCCUGAUGACGCAACGCCGCGUGGGGGAUGAAGGUCUUCGGAUCGUAAACCCCUGUCGAAUGGGACGAAAGACUCGCGAGUUAAUACUGCGCGAGAGUGACGGUACCGUUAAAGGAAGCCACGGCUAACUCUGUGCCAGCAGCCGCGGUAAUACAGAGGUGGCAAGCGUUGUUCGGAAUUACUGGGCGUAAAGGGCGCGUAGGCGGCCUACUAAGUCAGACGUGAAAUCCCCCGGCUUAACCUGGGAACUGCGUCUGAUACUGGAAGGCUUGAGGAUGGGAGAGGGAUGUAGAAUUCCAGGUGUAGCGGUGAAAUGCGUAGAUAUCUGGAGGAAUACCGGUGGCGAAGGCGGCAUCCUGGACCAUUACUGACGCUGAGGCGCGAAAGCUAGGGGAGCAAACGGG
rnacentral:rRNA from 1 species